ensembl:lncRNA
CUUCCCUCAAAGAACUUAGGAUCCAGCAGAAACGCAUUCCUGUCACAUUCAAUGUUCACAAAAGACUUUCCUUACAGCAACCUUGGGAGGUAAUUGGACCCUAGAUGCACACUGGAGCCUGAGUUAUGGCAUCAUGGACCAAACAAUCAAACCUGGGCCAAACAAUCAAACCUGGGCCUUCCACUGGUUAGGACAGUGGAUAGAGACAGCUUAGCACAAGUACUGAAUGGAGCGACUGGGACCAGGCCCUGUCCUUUGCAACAAUUCCUGACUUCUUUAAAAUUGUAUUUUAUGUUACAUUUUUUCUGAACAUAACAAAUACCAAAUAAAGUGAACAUUUCAGUAUGUGUUACA